AGAGUUUGAUCCUGGCUCAGAUUGAACGCUGGCGGCAUGCCUUACACAUGCAAGUCGAACGGCAGCACGGGGGCAACCCUGGUGGCGAGUGGCGAACGGGUGAGUAAUACAUCGGAACGUGUCCUGUAGUGGGGGAUAGCCCGGCGAAAGCCGGAUUAAUACCGCAUACGCUCUACGGAGGAAAGGGGGGGAUCUUAGGACCUCCCGCUACAGGGGCGGCCGAUGGCAGAUUAGCUAGUUGGUGGGGUAAAGGCCUACCAAGGCGACGAUCUGUAGCUGGUCUGAGAGGACGACCAGCCACACUGGGACUGAGACACGGCCCAGACUCCUACGGGAGGCAGCAGUGGGGAAUUUUGGACAAUGGGGGAAACCCUGAUCCAGCAAUGCCGCGUGUGUGAAGAAGGCCUUCGGGUUGUAAAGCACUUUUGUCCGGAAAGAAAACCUCCGCCCUAAUAU
rnacentral:rRNA from 1 species